rnacentral:lncRNA from 1 species
CAGAAAAGAAAGAAAACACUUUAUUUGUAAAGAGAAAAUGGAACUUAGUACAUAUGCCAAAAUAAAUCUGUAACGCAGGCCACUUCUCUGGGCCCCAUCUUGAGUAGGUUAAAGGGUCACCUUAGAGACUAGAAACACAAUUAAGAGGCACAAAUCCACACAGAAAAUAUGCAUAUUUUGUCUCCUUUCCCCCCAAAACAAGCUGCAUAUACUUGUGUAAACUUGUUGAUUUGUAAAACAUGUCUAGUACUGCAGACAAAUGUGUGGGAUGAAAGGAAAUAAAAGCCAUGAAAACAGGGCCAGGUGGAAUAAGUUCUCCUAGCUCAGAAGGAUCUCAACCUCUUGCAAGUUACUUUUCACUUUUAAGGGCCCUUAAAGAAGCAUUUGCUUAGCUCUGUAUCCAGGCCAUCUCUCCCUCCCCGAAGAGCAACAGACCAGCAACUGACAUUAAGGUCACAUGGGUGGGUGGGGAGUAGAAUUGCGGGGGUGACAGUUCCAGCCAAUCCAGACAACGAAUCAUUGUUUGGAGGAACCAGAGCCUCAAAGGGUGAGUGCACUGACUAGGGCUGGCUCUCCAUCUGUUCACACACUUGUUGAGUGCCUACUCUAUGCCAAAGCACUGUGUUUUGGUGCCCUGGGGAACACAAAAUUGGGAUAGCUCCUGCCCUC